CGAUCAUGGCUCAGGACGAACGCUGGCGGCGUGCCUAAUACAUGCAAGUAGAACGCUGAAGAGAGGAGCUUGCUCUUCUUGGAUGAGUUGCGAACGGGUGAGUAACGCGUAGGUAACCUGCCUUGUAGCGGGGGAUAACUAUUGGAAACGGUAGCUAAUACCGCAUAACAAUGAAUGACUCAUGUCAUUUAUUUGAAAGGGGCAAUUGCUCCACUACAAGAUGGACCUGCGUUG
rnacentral:rRNA from 1 species